rnacentral:rRNA from 1 species
CCUACGGGAGGCUGCAGUGAGGAAUAUUGGUCAAUGGACGAGAGUCUGAACCAGCCAAGUAGCGUGAAGGAUGACUGCCCUAUGGGUUGUAAACUUCUUUUAUAUGGGAAUAAAAUGUUCCACGUGUGGGAUUUUGUAUGUACCAUAUGAAUAAGGAUCGGCUAACUCCGUGCCAGCAGCCGCGGUAAUACGGAGGAUCCGAGCGUUAUCCGGUUUUAUUGGGUUUAAAGGGAGCGUAGGUGGAUUGUUAAGUCAGUUGUGAAAGUUUGCGGCUAAACCGUAAAAUUGCAGUUGAAACUGGCAGUCUUGAGUACAGUAGAGGUGGGCGGAAUUCGUGGUGUAGCGGUGAAAUGCUUAGAUAUCACGAAGAACUCCGAUUGCGAAGGCAGUUCACUGGACUGCAACUGACACUGAGGCUCGAAAGUGUGGGUAUCAAACAGGAUUAGAUACCCCUGUAGUC